rnacentral:rRNA from 1 species
UACGGAGGGGGCUAGCGUUGUUCGGAAUUACUGGGCGUAAAGCGCACGUAGGCGGCUUUGUAAGUUAGAGGUGAAAGCCCAGGGCUUAACCCUGGAAUUGCCUUUAAGACUGCAUCGCUAGAAUUGUGGAGAGGUAAGUGGAAUUCCGGGUGUAGCGGUGGAAUGCGUAGAGAUCCGGAAGAACACCGGUGGCGAAGGCGGUCUGCUGGGGUAAUGCUGACACUGAUGCGCGACAGCGUGGGGAGCAAACAGG